rnacentral:rRNA from 1 species
GAUGAACGCUGGCGGCGUGCCUAAUACAUGCAAGUCGAGCGAACCUUCUUUAUCCUUGCUUCUCUGCACUCACCGACAAAGAGUUGAGUAACAAAUGGGUGACCAACAUGUAGGCAACGGGCCCAUUAGAGGAAGCUAACCCUAUAACAGAGGAUCUAAUAACCCAUAACCAUCAAUACUGAAUGACAGUUUUGCUAUCAGUUACUAAUCUACCCCCUCUGCAUUAGCCCGCGGCGCAUUAGCUAGUUGGUAAGGUAAAGGCUUACUAAGGCAACGAUGCGUAGCCGACUUGAGAGGUUGAUCGGCCACACUGGAACUGAGACACGGCCCAGACUCCUACGGGAGGCAGCAGUAGGGAAUCUUCCGCAAUGGGCGAAAGCCUGAUGGAGCAACGCCGCGUGAGUGAUGAAGGUCUUCGGAUCGUAAAACUCUGUUAUUAGGGAAGAAAGUGCGUGUAAGUAACUGUUCACGUUUCGACGGUACCUAAUCAGAAAGCCACGGCUAACUACGUG